AAGAGGUGUCUUGGCUGCAGAGGAAAGGGAGCUUGUGCUUUUCAGCUUCUCAGUACUGGAGGGUACUGCUUUUAACGUACUGUGUUUCAAUGAGCUGUGUGGUUCCUAAUGCUCUGCACUGUUGAAGUGGCAGCAAGCCUAUGGGAUACCUCUUGGGAGUUGCUGACAGGGAUGGUGUGGGUGAGGCUGUGAUACCUUUUACAAGCAGUGUGGUGGGUACAACAUCGGAGCUGAAGGCUCUGAUUGAGGGGUGAGACUCCCAGAUCUUCCUUAAAGGGACUCCAGGAUUUCCCUGGCAACUGUUCCUGGACUUGCCUCAGCUUUUUUUUUUUUUUUGCAGUUCAGGAUGAUGUAAUCCUAGUACAAGCAGCCCUCUUGCAUGGUUUCUUCUCAUACUGGGAGAGGAGCCUGAAGUGUCUUCUGAUAGACACCAGGCCAGCCCUUGAUUAGAAGGAAAGGUGAAGAAGCAUGGCUCUAGGAAGAGUGAAGGAAUCAUGUCUCUCGCAUCAGACCCCAGGGCAAGCUAAAAAAGGAGCAAGGACACUGAAUGGAGUGGCUCCCUGACUGGUGACUGAUGAGAUGGAUCAGUUUAGUGAGAGAUGGAGGUGGGGACAGCUUCCUCCCUGAUCUUCACCCACGGCAGGAAGGAUGUAGGAAUCUCACUGUCAUGUGAGCAUCGUGCUGCUGAGAACUCCUUGGUGUCUGCUGACCCGCUGUGAGGUGAGUUAUGCAGCAAAGGCAUGGAGAGUGAAGUGGGUGGGCUGUCUCCUUGUUUCUUAGUGCUCUGUCCAAGGCAAUGUGGAGCAAUGGUCUCCUGUCAGCUCCCCUGUGGGCUGGAGAGAUGGAUCACCUUUGGGAAACCCACAGGGCCUUCACAAUGGGAUCACUUCUCUUGAGCACAACAAAGAGGGGAAGAUAAGAGGAUAGAGGGCAGCCCCUGCCCUCUGUUAGCUGUGGACAGAGG
ensembl:lncRNA